rnacentral:tRNA from 1 species
UUCCUCGUGGCCCAAUGGUCACGGCGUCUGGCUACGAAUUAAUAAGUAGUUACUUCUGAAACCAGAAGAUUCCAGGUUCGACUCCUGGCGGGGAAG